rnacentral:rRNA from 1 species
AUUGAACGCUGGCGGCAGGCCUAACACAUGCAAGUCGAACGAGUGGCGGACGGGUGAGUUAUGUCUGGGAAACUGCCUGAUGGAGGGGGAUCUCUACUGGAAACGGUAGCUUAUACCGCAUACCCUCGGAUGUGCCCAGAUGGGAUUAGCUAGUAGGUGGGGUAAAGGCUCAACUAGGCGACGAUCCCUAGCUGGUCUGGGAGGAUGACCAGCCACACUGGAACUGAGACACGGGCAAGACUCCUGCGGGAGGCAACAGUGGGGAAUAUUGCACAAUGGGCGCAAGCCUGAUGCAGCCAUGCCACGUGUAUGAAGAAGGCCUUCAGGUUGUAAAGUACUUUCAGCGGGGAGGCGUUACCCGCAGAAGAAGCACCGGCUAACUCCGUGCCAGCAGCCGCGGUAAUAC